UGAAAAAAAAAUAGCUGCUUUAGUUUGAAUGUAUGAAAACAUGAAAACAAGGAAAGUAUGACAAUAAAAAAAAUGAUUGUCAUAUUUAUUUAUUCAUGUUUGAUUUUAUGAUCUACAUUUAUCUCGUUUUCUAUUUCUUUUUCUGAGACAUUUUGUCUCAAUGGAGGACAGAUAACAUGAAGUGGUAAAACCAAGAAAUGGUUCUGACCAGAUCGUUUCUGACGGAGAACUGGUCCUUUGGUCUGCUAUGUGCUGUGGGUGGCAGUUUACAUGUAGAGGAGGAUCUGAAGGCUGUGUCUCACAGGAAAGACCUUAUCAUUUCACCUUGCUACCCUGGUUGACCUUAUUAGUAAGCUUGCUGUAAUCACCAGGAAAUGCACAUCUUUUUACAACGCUCAUGCAUUGAAUUCUGGGUAAUUUGGUUUGAAAGUUUUGAGACAUAAAGCCAAGUAGGUUUUAUAAGACUAUUUUGAUUGUGUUUCUUUAUUGGACCACACAAGGAAGGUCAGGAUGGUUAGGUAAUUGUAUUAAGCCAUUUGUGUUGUCAUGGAUUGUGCAACACAGUGUACCAAGGUGCCUUGGGUGUGGAAUGUUUUUUCCAAGGUUUGUCCCAAGAGAGAUAAUGUGCAGUGCUUCUAAAAGGACAAAAAUGAUAUGCGUAUUUUCACAACAUGACUGGUUUCACUAGGAAUAAGAUGCAUUUUGUUUGUCCACCUGCUCCUGUAUUACAAUUUUGGGGCUGGAUACACACCAAGAUGGCGCAGCUGAGGCUCAGAAAAGGACAAACUGAAUUAACAGAAAGAAGAAGAAGAAGAAGAAGAAGAAGAAGAAGAAGAACCUACUACCUGUCAAUAAAGUUACUGCUCUGACAUCAUCUUGUAAAACAUUUUAGCGCACAUUAUGACUCACUGAGGACAUUAUGAUAUAAUAAUAUGCUGUGAUUCAACUUAAAAACAGUCUGCCUUUUGGCAGCAUAAUUGGAGUUCUGGUAAAUCACAUUUGGCAUGUGUAUGUUCACAUUACCUCCUACACAAAAGCAGUUUUGUCUUAGGCCUAUUAGUCUUCUGCUUUUAAAGAGGACGUGAGUUGCUCAUUUUCUUGGCCAAUAUUGGAGGUCGUAAUAUAUUCAUCUUUAGCAAUAGAGUAACUAACUAUUCUCUUUUUCUGGUCUAAGUUGUUAACACUUAUGUAUGUACACUUGAAUCUUUUUGUGCAGCACUUUGGAAACCUUGUGUUUGUUAAAAUCGUGCAAUAUAAAUAAAGUGGAUUGGAUUGGAUUGGACGGUAUGUGCACACGGCCAUGAGUGCUACACACAGAUUCACCAAAAUAGAGGCCCAUAAUGCGAACACCUCCCAAUUUGCUCUACAUUGGUAGUAAGAACAAAGUUAGGAGAAAAAGAUACAAUCCUUUGAUGUAAAAAUUACGAUGCUGCCUGGAGCUGCUGAACUGAUUAAAGGAAACUGGAAAUUUG